UUCCAAACAGCUACAGUAGCGAAAACUGCUUUCUAGGGGGACCUCUUGACUGUCUGUGUAGAGAGAACAAAUCUUCACUUUGUAUAAAGGAAGGACUUUAAGGAGUUUAGGGAAAUGCCUUAGAGGGGAAAAUACUAGGAAGCCAGCAGCUGGCCACAACUUCUCUAUUUUCUAAAGUAUCUCUUACAGGAGACCCCAGGGGCCAAAGAGAAGGCUUGCAAGAAACAAAAGGAUGAGUAGAGUUUUAAGGGCUAAGAAGCAGAACCUUCCCAGUAUUCCUAGUAAGAUCCUAUUUUGUUUAACCCUUGAAGAAAGUUCUUUCUUUCUUUCUUUCUCUCUCUCUCUUUUUCUUUCUUUCUUUCUUUUUUAAGAAAAACAAGUUUUUGUUUUGUUUUGGUAUGUGUGUGAAUGUGUAUGAGUGUGUAUGAAUGUGACUGUGUGUAUGUGUGUGAAUGUGUGUGUGUGAAUGUGUAUGAAUAUGUGUGUAUGUGUAUGUAUGUGUGAAUGUGUGUAUGUGUGUGAAUAUGUAUGAAUGUGUGUGUAUGUGUGUGUGAAUGUGUAUGAGUGUAUGUGUGAAUGUGUGUGUGAAUGUGUGUGUGUGUGUGUGUGUGUACACGUACACAGUGAGUUAAUGAGCCAUGCUCUUUGUUUGGUGUUACUAAGAGGAGGAAAGAAAAUUUUCUUUCCUGGUGUAGGGGAAUGACCUGCUAAACUGUGGAGACUUCUAGAAAUGUGUCAGGUCUGGUUGAGAAGGACCUGUUUUAUUUUGUUUUUGUGUUUGUACCCUAAAGAUUCCUUUCUUUCUCUUUGUGAGUAGUGACCUGUGCUCACUGUGAAGGAAGCUAAGUUUCCUAUGAUUGUUCUGAUUCUGAUCAAAGUGGUAGAAGUUGAAGGAGAAACACCAGAGCCCAGGAGUGCUGGUAACACUAGAGUUCCAGGUGAGGUGUCACUCAUGAACCACACACACACCAGGAAGAACCGACACUUGCUGUCUUCUGUGUAUCCCGAGAAAACAGUGGGCCACAAAUAUGGAGCCAGAAGGUGGCUCCAUGUCCUAGGGUCUGGAGAACUUCUUCAGGCAAGGAAUAGCAAGUGACUUUCCUUCCCGUGAUGAUGCAGAGAAAGCAGGCGACUCCCUUCCGAAGGACCCUGCUGCUGCAUCUGGUCUUAGCAGAAGAGUCUGCAGCAGCUGAGCAGUGUACACGCACACAGGAGGAAAACGCCACAGCAAGACUUGCUCUCCCUGGCCUUGGGCAUCUCUCAGAAAGUUGCAUUACUGCACUUGUGCAAAGGUAAGUAGAGAGGGAAAUGCAGCCCAGAGGUGAAAGAGUAAACAGGAUGGCAGGAGUCAUGGUGAUUCUGGCGGAGACAAUGGCGCUCACUCAACACCGUGAAAUCUAAGCAGAAGUGAAGUUGUCACCUUUGAACUAAGGCAGAGAGCAAUUAUAGGCUGUGCUGUACUCAUCUUCCUGUUCCUGUGACUCAAAGGGCCUCUUCUUCUAGGAGUGUGCUCACAAAAUGGGGUAGCCUCUGCCACCAUUUUUUUUUUUUCAUGUGAAACAGAGCCUCUGGCCAAACAAUGUAUAGCCAAGAGAAAACUAACCUCCUCGUAUUUGUGUGUGUCCUUUGGAAUGCAAUGUACCCUGUCCCAUCUGACUGACACAUUCAUGAAGGGACUGUGGGUUGUCCCCUGCUCUCCAAUCCCCCCUCCCCCACCUCCAUUUGUUUUUAGGGCCUUGCUUUGUAGCUGGCUUGGAAUUUGGUUUAUAGACCAGGCUGGCCUUAAUCAAGCUCACAGAGAUCCACUGGCUCUACCUCCUAAGUUCUGGGAUUAAAGGUGUGCACCAGCACGUCUGGUUUCUUCAUGCAGUCUUACUACAGAGCCCAGCCUGGGCUGAUUCUCAGUCUUCCUGCCUUACUCACCCUAGUGCUGGAUCCCAGACAUGAACCACUGUGCUUGUCUUCUGUGAGUACUUGAAACUGCUGUUUUAAACGAUGAUGUCUGGGUAUGGUGGUAAACUGCCACAAUCCCAGCCACUUGGAAGGUUUAGGUGGGAGGAACAGGGGGUUCAAGGCCAGCCUAGAGUGAAAGACCUGUUCCUUACAAGUAGGUAAGCAAGCAAAAGCAUAAGGGGAUCUUGGCAAUUUAGUUAUGCAUCAAAAGGUUCCUUAAGGAAGAAAAAGGACCACAUUACACUCUGAUUAAAAUUAAUAAAAUAUACACAUCUUUAAUACAAAAUGUUUGUACAAAUGGUCAGCGUCCGUACACCUUAAACACAAGACUUACUGGUCAAUUUCUCUCUUUGUCUUGUCUUGUAUCGUUUCCUCCCUUCCUUCCCCUCCCCUCUCCUCCCCCGUGAACCCCCAGCCCAGGCUGAUCUUGAAGUCACCUUCUAGUCAAGGAUGCUCUUGAACUUGUACCUCCUGCCUCCAUUUCCCAAAGUUCUGGGAUUAGAGAUGUGUGUCUCCAUAUUCAGUUUGUGAUCUCGCAGCUUUGUGCCUUCUAAGCAAACACUUUACCAACUGAGCCAGUCUCUCUGUCUGUCUCUCUGUCGUCUGUCUCUCUCUUUCUCAGUUUCUGUUCUUCCUAAUUUUUGGGCUACUGUGCAAUCUCAUAAAUUUACUCUCUGUCUUCAGCUGACCACUUCCCGGCUGAGAAGCCCUAUGCAAACUUCAUUGUAAUUAUAGCUACUUAGCCUUUUAAAUCCAUUCGAUUAUUUGUUCUCUCUCUCUCUCUCUCUCUCUCUCUCUCUCUCUCUCUCUGUGUGUGUGUGUUUAUCAUGCAUGUCUAUCACAAUGUGCAUUGCCUGUUGCCUGAGGAGGCAAGAAGUCUUCACAUCCUUCACAUCCCCUGGAGCUGGAGUCCCAGAUGGCUGUGAGCCACCAUGUGGGUUCUGGGAACAGAACUUCUUUCUCUGGAAGAGCAGUCAGUGAGUUGUGACUUCAACCGCUGAGCCAUCUCUCCACCUUAAGAUAUUUGGGUUUUAUUCAUUGAUCUUAUGAUUUGCCAAUAUUUGUACUUAUGAUUACAUCUCCUUUCUUCCUUCUGUAGGUCUAUAGCCCAGACUGGCUGCAAACUCACUAAGAAUCCAACAAUUACCUUGAACUUUAGAUCCUCCCGAAUGCUGGGAUUCUAGAAUCCAUACAGUAUGAUUUAUGAAAUACUGAAGAUCAAAUUCAGGGCAUUGUGCAUGCUAGGCAAGCAUUCUACCAACUGGGCUCCAUCCCUAGAUCAAUCGAUCAUUCAUUCAUUCUCUCUUUUGAGACAGAGUUUCACUGUGUGAUUUUGAUUGGCCUAGAAUUUUUUUUUUUUUCAGAACAGAGGUAGGGGAAGUGAGAGAUUUGCCUUACCUCCUGAGUGCUGGGGUUAGAAGCAUACUUCACCAUGCCCAGCGUCUGAUUAAUUCUUUAGAAAAUACUCCUAAGCUCGAUGUCUGGAUAAUAAUUUUAAGGACUACUAAAUGUUAGAAUAAAUAAAGCUUCUAUGAACACAAGAGUUCAUUCCUCACUCACGUCUGUUUAACGUCUGUGGCCUACAGCCUUCCCGUGGUUGUUCAAGGACUCAAGCCACAUCUAGCUUAUUGUGCUGUCACCAUCAGCAAGUUCUUGUAAAAGCCACUAAGUGUGGAAAACACAGGGUAGAGACCGCACACCAGGCUUCUCAGCUUAGAAGGAAUGGGAGCCACUCUUCCAUCAGGGAGGGAGGGCUGGUUACAGAGGGCAGCACUUUCCUCCAGGAAAACUGAAGACUACAGCUACUGGCCAGGUAGCCAGUUCCCAGUACACUUAUUGCGUGGGUUUUUUCUGGAAAGAAUGAAUAAAUGUCUACUCACCACCGAUAGGGAAUCACGGACAGACCAACGUGACAAUUCUACCCAAGUCUUGCCUGAUGAACCAAUGAGUUUAUGGGGCUCACUUUCAGGAACAUGCAUUACUUACAGGAAGAAUGGGUACCCACAAACAGCUGUGUCGUCACAAAGUCUCAUCCCAGCGUGGGUGAUGACUUCCCCAUAGCCACAUAGAUGGCUCGCCCCCCUAGCCUUCCACUUUCCAUAUUCUCUAGGAACCUCCAAGAUCACAUGAAGCUGGGGGAGAGCAAUGUGAAGCUUGGAGGAGGGGCAGCUAGAAUCUCAGAAGUUUGACACUGAAUAAAAAUGCGGACAUGACCACUUUCCUAUGUAUAAUUAAGGAGAAAGAUUUUAUUGUGGACACGUUGGAGAGAACAGCCAGAAGCAUCUGCAAGAGUCCAGACUGACCAUGGCCUACAGGAUUUCUCUGUGUAGCCCUGGAUAUCCUGGAACUUGCUCUGUUAAGAGAGAGUUUCCUGAGUCCAGCCAUCUCAGGAACCGAGUUCCACCUUGCUGGCAGGAUCAAAACUGAGUUCACGUUCCCAGGCCCCAGAAUCCAGGUCCUGGCCUGCUUCUUCAUGUUUGUCCAUUAACCAAGACAGGAUGCAAAGAAGGAAGAUGCCGCUAUCCCGUUAUCUAGACUAAGGCACACAGCCCAUAACUGUGCUGCCUGUCUUGACUUAUUGACUCCAUGCAGCUUGCCUCUCCUUUGGUCCCUUAUCACCCUAAAUUCCAGACUAGAGUCCAGGAGGGGGCCUGACGGCAGCAGCUGAAUCAAGGACCCUGAAACCAGGUGACCCGGAUAACCAGAGACCAAUGUUAACUUCCAUGCUUAACCCCUGAUGUCAAAAUAUGAUCGGUCAAUGCAACAGCCCUCCUCACUCCCCCUCAUUUUUUGUUCCCAUCCUAUAAAAAUGUUGUACAGUCUCCCUUAGGGAACGAGGUUCAGAUCCUAAACUGGCUGCCUCCCAGGGCACUCAGAAAAUAAAGCUUUCAUUUGAAGCUUC